rnacentral:misc_RNA from 1 species
AACGCAUAUGGCGCCUUGCGGGCUUCCCGGAAGGCAUGCCUGUUUGAGAAUCAUACAACACAUUAACUAUUGGGCUUUCAUCACUGAUUGCUUGGAAAGCACGCAUGUUUGCUGUGCCAGUGGGCGCUCGCUCAACCUCAGCAAAAGUAUAAUCUUUAAUUGUGAUCUCAAAUCAGGCAAGACUACCCGCUGAACUUAA